GGAAGUAAAAGACGUAACAAGGUUUCCGUAGGUGAACCUGCGGAAGGAUCAUUAAAAAUGAAGCCGGGAAACCGGUCCUUCUCACCCUUGAUUAUCUCAAUUUGUUGCUUUGGUGGGCCGCGCAAGCACCGGCUUCGGCUGGAUCGUGCCCGCCAGAGGACCACAACUCUGUAUUACAUGUCGUCUGAGUACUAUAAAAUAGUUAAAACUUUCAACAACGGAUCUCUUGGUUCUG
rnacentral:misc_RNA from 1 species